rnacentral:rRNA from 1 species
AUUGAACGCUGGCGGCAGGCCUAACACAUGCAAGUCGAACGAGUGGCGGACGGGUGAGUAAUGUCUGGGAAACUGCCUGAUGGAGGGGGAUAACUACUGGAAACGGUAGCUAAUACCGCAUACCAUCGGAUGUGCCCAGAUUGGAUUAGCUAGUAGGGGGGGUAAAGGCUCACCUAGGCGACGAUCCGUAGCUGGUAUGAGAGGAGUACCAUCCACACUGGAACUGAGACACGGUCCAGACUCCUACGGGAGGCAGCAGUGGGGAAUAUUGCACAAUUGGCGCAAGCCUGAUGCAGCCAUGCCGCGUGUAUGAAGAAGGCCUUCGGGUUGUAAAGUACUUUCAGCGGGGAGGCGUUACCCGCAGAAGAAGCACCGGCUAACUCCGUGCCAGCAGCCGCGGUAAUUC